CACAUUUUGUGCAAAGGAGAAUAUAUUUAAUAUGUUGUUUUUAGCAGUUCUCUGGUGAUCUGAGAACAACACUGUGGGUGAAAGAAAAUAAAAAUACUUUAAUUAAUGUAUUGUUUUGAGUUGAGUUUUAGAAUCUUAUUCAAACAGUGGUGCCCAAGUUAUUUCCUCGAGAAUUACUAUCCUGGAGCAUUUAGAUGCAUCUGAAUCAAAUGGCUUAAUUCCCUCAUCAGCAGGUCAUUCAGCUCUGUAGAGGCCUGGCAAGGAACCAUUCAGUUAGUUCAGGUGUGUUUGAGGGCAGAUGUAUCUAAAAGUUGGAGGAUAGUGGCUCUUGACAGCUACAGUUGGGCAUUCAUGGAGUAAAGAAACAUGUUCACAAAUAUAGAUCUCAUUUGAAUCCAGUUUACUUGGUUAAAUCUGCAACUUUUCUAGUCGGAAUCAUGACAAGAAGCUUUAUUGUUGUAUUUCAAGUUAAAUAGAACUUUCCAUUUACAAAUUGAAAGAAAAAAAUGGUUAAAGAGUCAGCUUAUUAUAGAGAAAUAAUCAUUAAAGCUUAGCGUUAGCCUGACCCAUAUAAACCGUUUUAUCUGAUGAGUCUUACUUAAUCAAAUCGUAGUUCCUAAAGAAAAGAGACGCAAUGUCAGCAAGUUCUGAACAUUUUUAAAACUCAUUUACAUGUGGUAAUUUUUUCUUUUUAUGCUGACUUCAGACUGGUUCUAUUUAAGGUAAGAAAAACAAUAAGCACACUGUCAAACAGUGGGACAUAAAAAAUGCUUGGCUUGAAGAACUUAGUCUGUAUUGAAUCUUUUGUGUGACUAACACAAACCACAGAAAUGAAUAUUAAAUUUAAAAGUCUAGUCCAGGGUUGUGGAUUUUUUAUUGAGGUUCUUUUUCCUGCCUUCAGUGCAGAAUGGACACUUUCUGUUCCUAAAUCCAAAUUAACACAAAUAUUAUUAGCAAAAAGAUGAUUGAUUAGUCAUUCUUUUUAUUCACACGUGAUUUCCCUGCAUCUCAACAGAGACCAUAUGAGCAAUUAUUCACAAUGUGUAAAAGUAAAAGUCCAAAUUUUAACCAGAUGACAUCUCUAAAACAGUUUACCUGCGUUUUUAAUACGCAAAAUAUUAUUUGCAUGUUAGACGAAUAACAGUCAUAUUCCUUUUUUAUUUACAACGCAGCAGUCCGAUUUGUCCUUAAAGGAAUCGCAACAAGCAAAUUGCAACAAAACUCUUUGGACUUAGUUUGAAUAAAAAUGGUAAAUUUGUAUUUUUGGUGUUUAUAUUUAAAUAAAAUCAUAAUUUCUUUCAAAUGGAAAGAAAACUCUGAGUUUUGUUCCCGAGUCUGAUUACACUGAUUUUUCUUUUUUCUCAGAUUUGUCCUUAAACAAAUCUGAGUUAAAUUGAACUGAAUUGUUCGUAUCUGAACUGAAUUCUGCAUGUCAAGCUGUUUUGGUCCAAGUUGAAUUUUGUACACUGGCACCAUGAAGAUAAAUGCAGCCAAAAUUUGGAUCUGUAUCCAUUUGCUGCUGGUGUCAACGUCUCUGGGGAAACAAAGAGCUUGUGCUCAUGUCAUGUUUUCUAAAGCAUCGCUGCAGUUUCACAAAGAGUAAAUUACACUUUAUGUUUAGGUGAUCUUCAACUUAAUGUUGCCUCGGAGUUAUGUCUAUGCAUCCUGUCAGCAUUUCUUCUCAGUUGGUUAAAUAUUCCUGUAAAAUCGCCACAAAGUCCUAAUAUGUGAAGCAAUUCCUGAAUUUGUCAAAAAUACAACCUUAAUAUUAAAAAUACUAAUAAAGUACCAUGUUUUUGAAGGUGAAAAGAGUUGCAUCGGUUCAGUGCCCGAGAAGCAUCUUCAUGCUAGUUAAACUUUUUCACAUUUUACCUCAUAAUUAUGAGCAUCAACUAGGCACAAAAGGAUGCGUUUUUUUUCUUCCUAAAAAUAAAAAUCUGAUGUGCGGCGUACGCGUCAGAUUUUAUGUGUAUGCCACAGAGAGUCCAAAUAAAAAUCUGAGUAACAUCCAGAGCAUCUCAUUUCGCACGCGAUCCUGCUUAACUUAUGGAAAACUGCAAACCGGGUUUUGAUUAAUUUUAUUUCAACUAUGGCUGUCUUCUUGCCACAAAUGUUGUCCUUUAAACUCAUUUUCCUUCCUGAACUGUGAAUGCAGCUAUAGGUGGAUGGUCUGGAUGUAGGUUUGCAUUUGGGUCAGAGCCUUUCAAUGUUCAAACGAAGAAUUAAACAGUGACAUUUUCAAAGCCUGGGACGUUGUUUUAUAACCCAACCCAGUGAAAUUCCUCUGCAACUUUCUCCCUGACCUAUCCGCUGUGUUUGUUGGUCUGGUGAUGGUGUUUGCUCUGUAAUGUUUUUGACAAAACAGGUGGAUUUUAUGCAGGGAAUAAAUUACACACAGCACUGUUUAUUAAUUAGUUAAUUAGUCUACAGGCAAUUAUUUUGACCAGAUAUCAUUUAUGGGUAUCAGAGUAAAGGCUGCAGCAUAGUUUGACGUGGCACAAUGUUGCUCUACUCCCUAAAAUCCCCAUUAAGUAAAUAUUCGCUUUUAAUUGCGAUGUGACAAAUGUAAGAGUCUGCUUUAGUUCUUGAGCAAGAUUAAUUUAUCAAAAGUUCCUCUCCCUUAUGCUUCUGCCUUCUUAGCCACAAAGAGGAAAGGAAUAAGAUUCAACAAACAUGAAGAAAAGAAACUUCCUCUUUUCCCCAUUUGCAUGCACACAUUAGUGGGAGUGUUCACUGCUUAGAAACCUCAUCUGCACACAGGACCUUGAACAAACUCCAGUUUUAUCAAGCUCUUUGAUCAACCAUGAAACCCUCUGUAAUUGUUCCACUGUGGGCUCUGUUCUCCCUAGCCCAGCAGGCGGCUCCAAGUAAAAGCUGCACAUGUGAGCUGAAUCCAGCAGAAAAGGCUUUUCCUCACGACAAACUCCAAACAGCGGAAGGCAAUGCGACAGACUGCAACACCCACGUCACACCACAGAAGGCUCUGGAGCUGGAGAGUCUGCUGCUGGGACUGGAGAAGCGCCUGACCCAGCUGCACAGCGACGUGUCCGUCCUGGAGGAGGAGGACGACGGAGAGCUGUACGGCGUUCUCAGUCUGUUCAUCAUAGAGAACGAAAUGGUCGAGAUCAGGCAGCUGAUGGAGAAGCUCAACAGCACCACCGUGGAACACCAAGUCCUCACCGAUGACACCGUUCAACAGCUUGAGGAGUUGAAAACUGAAAUGAUAAAACUGGAGAAAUUUGACACCAUGGAGGUGGUGAAGGGACGACAAGUCAACAAGCAGCUGAAGAGCGCCCUGGAAACAUGCAGGAUCGGAGUUAAUGCCACUGUCACACCCACCCAGCCACCAUAUGGUACCUGUCAACACGGUCCACUUCGUAACAUCACCGGGCCUGGUGUGAACACACAAGGAGAGUUCUCUGGCAAUUAUGCAUACGGGGCUUGGGGUCGCGAUCCCAAACCAGAAACGAGGAAGGAGAAUUGGUACUGGAUGGUACCUCUGACUUCCAGCCAGUACGCUAACUAUAUCCGUUUCUACUCCAGUCUUAGUGCACUCAUCAUUGGGGUGAGCACUCCAGGCAACAUUCAGAUCGCUUCCUCUAACCCGACCACCAACACCAUUCAGGGUCCCAAUAAUGUUUUGUAUGGAAGUGCCUUGUACUACAACUGUUACAACCGGGAUGCUGUUUGUCGAUUCAACCUCACCAGCAAAAGUGUGACCAGCGUACAACUACCAAGAGGAACCAGGUAUAACUCAAAGAGUAAUUUCUGCCACCUUGAAGACUGCUACGCCUUCACUGACCUGGACCUGGCCACUGAUGAGUCAGGCGUUUGGGUCGUCUACACCACCACCGAGGCAUUAGGCAAUCUGGUUCUGACCAAGGUGGAGGAGACUGAGCCGCCAACGCUCGGUAAAACAUGGCGCACUUCAGUCUACAAGCGAAGUGUGACCAACACCUUCAUGGCCUGCGGCAUCCUCUACGCAACACGUUACAUCGACGCAAAUGUGGAGGAGGUGUUUUAUUCCUUCGACACCACGACGGGGAUGGAGAACUUCAAAGUUAGCAUCUUUAUAAACAAGGUGUCCCCUAACAUUUUCUCCUUGAACUACAACCCAGUGGACCAGAUGCUGUACGUGUACAGUAAUGCUAAAAUGGUCUCCUACAAGGCUUUGUUUGGGUACUCUGAUCGUUAUUUUUCAUAGGAGUGAUAUUUGAUCGUACAGUGAUCAAAUGAUCACUGUACGAUCAUUUGACAUGAUAGUAUUGUCAUGGUGUUAUAUUAACAUAUAAGCAACAAGUUUCCUAUGAAAGACAGCAUAUUCUCAAAAUGUUUCCGCAUGGCUUUAGUGUUACUGUUGCAGCCGCGCUGUCGUUGAAGUAGAAGUUGAUUGUAAAACGGCACAUUCAGCUUUGGUUAGUUAGACAAUUAAUCAACUCCAGUUAAAAAAUAAACUUACUCAGCUUGUUCAAAUGCACUGGAUUGUGAUGAAUAUGGCAAAUCCUUUUAUUAAAUUUAUAAGAGAAUUUUUGAAACAACAGGAAGCCAUAAUGUCUAUUACUUCCUAGUAGUACAGUAGAUGCCUAAUAGUAGCGGGGAUUAAGAACCAAAACCUAACUUUAAAAUUAUUAUAACUGCUUAUUUUAGUAGUUUAAUCACCAAAUAUACCUUGGUAUGCAGUAAUACAUACAGUGGAAACCAAAAGAAAGAAGGGUUCAGUUUCAGGGUUAAUAAAAUUUGCAAUAAUCACAAUAAAGGCUAAAAAUGAAGAAAAAAAAUACAGUUUGGCUAUGAGAGUAUGGUAUUUUCUAUUUACAAAUCUAAAGAAUCACAUCAUGUUGCUAUUUUGUUUAAUUCUCUUUAACGGUGUAUGUGGGGAGUGGUGUUUAUAUGGUGUGAAAUUUCUCAAGUUGCUUUUCUGCUCCAAUGAUAAAUUAGAUUUUCUAGCUGUUUGUUUAGUGAUCAUUCAAAAAUGUUAUGACUAAUUUUCCGUAUUAAAUUUUGUACCUCCUUAAAGAUGGAGUAGGUAAUUUUUAUAAAACGUGUAAAAUUGUCAUGUUAUGACAGUAUAUAUGAUGGAUAUGUGAAAGAAAAAUCAAGUAUGAUUGAUGAUGAGAAUAAAACUUAAAAAUGUAUUUUGUUGUAAACAAGAUUCAAGAGAGUAAAUAUAUGAUUCAAAACAAUUUGGUGAAAUCUAAAAUGUAUGAUGUUACUGAUUUCACAAUUCUUUAAUGAAAUAAAAAAAAUGUUAAUCAAGUUUA